rnacentral:tRNA from 1 species
CGGUGUAGCUCAGUAGGUAGAGCAGCGCAUUCGUAAUGCGAAGGUCGGGGGUUCGACUCCUCUCACCGG